GCUUAACACAUGCAAGUCGAACGACAAAGUACCUUCGGGUGCGAGUAGAGUGGCGCACGGGUGAGUAACACGUAGGUAACCUACCCCUGAGCGGGGGAUAACGUUCCGAAAGGAACGCUAAUACCGCAUAAGACCACAGCUUCUGCGGGAGCAGUGGGAAAAGAUGGCCUCUUCUUGAAAGCUAUCACUUGGGGAUGGGCCUGCGUCCCAUCAGCUUGUUGGUAAGGUAACGGCUU
rnacentral:rRNA from 18 species